rnacentral:lncRNA from 1 species
GACCAGAGCAAGGAGGCUCAGCCAUGCGGGGGAAGAAAGGGAAGCACAGGGCGAGCGCUGGGUGAUGAUUUAUCCCCUCUGCUAGGCCUCCGCUUGGGCCAGAUCCAGACACGAACAAGGCUGCCAGCACAUCCAAACGCUGCCGUUAACUCUGCACCUUCCCGCUGCCACAAGCGGGCAUCGCCGAACCCACUGCUCCAGGUGCCGGGCUUGAGGGGGAGCAGCCAGACCCCCAGUGCUCCCAAAACCUCCCCAACCACCCCCCCCCCCCNNNNNNNNNNNNNNNNNNNNNNNNNNNNNNNNNNNNNNNNNNNNNNNNNNCCCCCCCCCCCCCCCCAGCACUGCCGGGCUGCCCACAGGCGGGAUCUGCUGCAUCCCACCAGCAGCAGGCAGGAGCUGCCCUGCUCCUCCUGCCUGCUCCCCCGCGGGCGCCAGGGAGGCUGGGCGCUCUCCUCUGCAGCCCCUUUCUUCUCUCAGGUUAUAAUUACACCUCGCCGGGCAGCUCAGGAAAUACCAGCUUCUUCCCCCGAGCGCCUCUCAGAAUAGCAAGCGGCACGGCUGGGCUCAUUUCGCAUGCACCGGGUUUAGUGCCGCCACCCAGACGCUUCCUCCUGCCGGGGCAGCGCUGGCACAGCCCUGGCACAGGCCUGGCACAGCCCCGGCAUCACUCGCCGUCACCUCCCUGGCCAGCCCCGGCCUUUGCCCCUCGGCCAGGGUCUCCUGGCAGCAGCCUGGGAAGUGGGGGAGAUGAAAGGGGAGGGAACGGGAGAUGCUUCGAUCGGGCAGCACGUGCCCUGCCUGCCACUGUUUGCCUUGUGAUAAGGCUAGGCAGAACAACAAAUACAUGGAGUGGGGGAUGGCCCCGGGGGGUGACGUGGGUACCCCCAGGGCUGGGGUGGCAGAUUCACCCUGUCCUUCUGUGCCCACCUCAGUUUGGAACCCUCUGCUACAAGCAAAGAGCAUCUCCCCAGGGAUCUCAUCCCACGGCGUGCCAGCCCCGAGAGCCCCAGCCCAUCAUGAGACUGCCAUGCUGCCACACUGACGGGAUGCCACCAUCCUCGGUGGCCCAUGUGUCACCCAGCAUUGUCCUCCUCCUGACUGCCAGCCCCAGCGCCCACUCGCUCACCCUGAUGGCAUGGCUACGGCCACACAUGUGGGCACAGAACCCCCCCAUGGUGGAACCCCGGGCUGUGUCUCUGGGGCUGCUGAGCCAGCUGCACCGAUUUCCCAGCAUCCGCCUCUGCUGCCUGCCGGCCCCGGGUGACAAGGACAGCAACAGCCCUGCUGUGCCGAGUCCUCCCGCUUCUCCAUACCCAGCUCCAGCUCUCCUGGG